rnacentral:rRNA from 1 species
GUAGAAACUCCGCGACCCAUCCCGAACCUAACCCACCUCCUUCCGCCGAAGGCAGCCGUCGUGGGCGAGCCAGCGACGGCGUUAGGCGGAGCGAGGGAGCCCGCGGCGCCGUGACUGGCCGCCGACGGAGCCCAGCGAACUGAACCUCCCCGCGGCCCACCACUUGUCCCACCUUCCUUCUUCCGCAGCGAGUGGAUCGGCCGCACCGACCACCGGCCUCACCACCGCGCCGCCGCCCAGUGUGCCGCCGCCCCAGCCAUCGGCCCCCCACCGCGCCGCCGCCUCCCUCCCCGCGCGCAGCUCCACCCGGCCUCAUCCUCCCUGCCCCCGCCUCCUCCCCUUCGCCAGCGCGCCUCCACCUCCCAGCCACCGGCGCGGCUCCACCUCCUCGUCCCGGCCGGCCAGGUGAUGCACGCGCAUCAAUUCGCGCGAGGCCCGUCCACCAGGCACCCUUUCGCCAUCUGGCGCGACGCCAUGGGUAAAGCCAGAGAUGGAGCUACCGGUUCCAGCACCGGCACCUACGACGUCAGUCCACCGACGUGCUUGGCGCCGUCCACAACUCCAUCGCGCUUGAGCUUAUGCUCCAGAUCAUCUUCCUCAAUGUUCCGGCCACGGCUCCCCACUGCCAACACAAGAUCCCAACCACUUCUUCUGUAAAAACUGAAGUUAUCUG